rnacentral:RNase_P_RNA from 1 species
CCAAUGUUAAUCUCAUACUUGGGGCGCACAAACUGAGUGCUCGUCACUCUCCUCGCCCCGGGAAGGUCUGAGUAAAGGUCUUUGUGUUUUUUAUACAUUCUAGCCGGAUGAUUCCCUUACAAGGAAGGUGAGGGAACCAGAAAUCACAAUGCCAUAUUGAGCUUAGGAUGCCUAAAGGCCCGAUGUGGGUUAAGGCGGAGGUGAAGGUUUGGUGUUGUUGGAAACCCUCAUGACCAGCAUUUUUAGCACAAUCUAUGAGAUGACUUAGGUCACACCUCAAUUCAGACUAGUCUUUCAUUGG